UAGGGAAUAUUGGUAAUGUGCGAAAGCGCGAACCAGCAACGCCGCGUGCACGAUGAAGGCCUUCGGGUCGUAAAGUGCUUUUAGAGAGGAUGAGGAAGGACAGUACUUUCUGAAUAAGCCUCGGCUAACUACGUGCCAGCAGCCGCGGUAAAACGUAGGAGGCAAGCGUUAUCCGGAUGUACUGGGCGUAAAGCGCAUGCAGGUGGUUUUGUAAGUUGGAUGUGAAAGCUCCCGGCUUAACUGGGAGAGGUCGUUGGAAACUACAAGACUUGAGAUUGGUAGAGGAAGAUGGAAUUCCGGGUGUAGUGGUGAAAUGCGUAGAUAUCCGGAGGAACACCAGUGGCGAAAGCGGUUUUCUGGACCAAUUCUGACACUCAGAUGCGAAAGCUAAGGUAGCAAACG
rnacentral:rRNA from 1 species